CACGUAGGGGGCGAGCGUUGUCCGGAUUUAUUGGGCGUAAAGAGCUCGUAGGCGGCUCGGUAAGUCAGGUGUGAAACCUCCAGGCUCAACCUGGAGACGCCACCUGAUACUGCCGUGGCUAGAGUCCGGUAGAGGAGCGUAGAAUUCCUGGUGUAGCGGUGAAAUGCGCAGAUAUCAGGAGGAAUACCAGCGGCGAAGGCGGCGCUCUGGGCCGGUACUGACGCUGAGGAGCGAAAAGCGUGGGGGGAGCAAACAGG
rnacentral:rRNA from 1 species